rnacentral:misc_RNA from 1 species
GAAAUGCGAUAAGUAAUGUGAAUUGCAGAAUUCAGUGAAUCAUCGAAUCUUUGAACGCACCUUGCGCUCCUUGGUAUUCCGAGGAGCAUGCCUGUUUGAGUGUCAUUAAAUUCUCAACCUUUUCAGCUUUUGCAAGUUGAAUUUGGCUUGGAUGUGGAGGUUGCGGGCUUCUCAGAAGUCGGCUCUUCUUAAAUGCAUUAGCGGAACCUUUGUGGACCAGCUUUGGUGUGAUAAUUAUCUACGCCACUGUUGUGAAACAGCUUUACAUGGGGUUCAGCUUCUAACUGUCCAUUGACUUGGACAAUUUUUGACAUUUUGACCUCAAAUCAGGUAGGACUACCCGCUGAACUUAA